GAUGAACGCUGGCGGCGUGCCUAAUACAUGCAAGUCGAGCGAACAGACGAGGAGCUUGCUCCUUUGACGUUAGCGGCGGACGGGUGAGUAACACGUAGGUAACCUACCUAUAAGACUGGGAUAACUUCGGGAAACCGGAGCUAAUACCGGAUAAUAUUUCGAACCGCAUGGUUCGAUAGUGAAAGAUGGCUUUGCUAUCACUUAUAGAUGGACCUGCGCCGUAUUAGCUAGUUGGUAAGGUAACGGCUUACCAAGGCAACGAUACGUAGCCGACCUGAGAGGGUGAUCGGCCACACUGGAACUGAGACACGGUCCAGACUCCUACGGGAGGCAGCAGUAGGGAACCUUCCGCAAUGGGCGAAAGCCUGACGGAGCAACGCCGCGUGAGUGAUGAAGGUCUUCGGAUCGUAAAACUCUGUUAUUAGGGAAGAACAAACGUGUAAGUAACUGUGCACGUCCUGACGGUACCUAAUCAGAAAGCCACGGCUAACUACGUG
rnacentral:rRNA from 1 species